rnacentral:rRNA from 1 species
AUAUAAAGCGGGUUGGGACUCCCAGCAGCGUGCUCCGGCGCGCUGCUGGCCCGGCCUUUGCUGAAUAUUCACCCAUGUCUUUUGCGUACUAUCUGUUUCCUCGGUGGGUUCGCCCACCAGCAGGACAUUACUAAACCUUUUGUAAUUGCAAUCAGCGUCAGAAAAACAUAAUUAUUACAACUUUCAACAACGGAUCUCUUGGUUCUGGCAUCGAUGAAGAACGCAGCGAAAUGCGAUAAGUAGUGUGAAUUGCAGAAUUCAGUGAAUCAUCGAAUCUUUGAACGCACAUUGCGCCCUUUGGUAUUCCAAAGGGCAUGCCUGUUCGAGCGUCAUUUGAACCCUCAAGCCUUGCUUGGUGUUGGGUGUUUUGUCUUCUUCUCGGAGACUCGCCUUAAAACAAUUGGCAGCCGGCACACUGGUAUUGAAGCGCAGCACAAUUUGCGCUUCUGUCCACGCGUGCCCGCAUCCACAAAGCCCAUUUUUUCACUUUUGACCUCGGAUCAGGUAGGGAUACCCGCUGAACUUAAGCAUA